UACGGGGGGGGCAAGCGUUGUUCGGAAUUACUGGGCGUAAAGGGCUCGUAGGUGGCCAACUAAGUCAGACGUGAAAUCCCUCAGCUUAACUGGGGAACUGCGUCUGAUACUGGAUGGCUUGAGUUUGGGAGAGGGAUGCGGAAUUCCAGGUGUAGCGGUGAAAUGCGUAGAUAUCGUCAAGAACACCGAUAGUGUAGACAGCUAACUAAGCUUUAACUGACGCUGAGGCACGAAAGUGUGGGGAUCAAACAGG
rnacentral:rRNA from 1 species